rnacentral:rRNA from 1 species
CGGAACCGGCGAACGGGUGCGUAACACGUAUGCAACCUACCUAUAACUGGGGAAUAGCCCGAAGAAAUUCGGAUUAAUACCCUAUAAUAUUUAGUCAUCGCAUGAUGAUUAUCUUAAAACUCCGGUGGUUAUAGAUGGGCAUGCGGCCUAUUAGUUUGUUGGUGAGGUAAUGGCUCACCAAGACUACGAUAGGUAGGGGGUCUGAGAGGAUGAUCCCCCACACUGGUACUGAGACACGGACCAGACUCCUACGGGAGGCAGCAGUAGGGAAUAUUGGACAAUGGACGAAAGUCUGAUCCAGCCAUGCCGCGUGCAGGAUGACGGCCCUAUGGGUUGUAAACUGCUUUUAUAUAGGAAGAAACCUUUUUACGUGUAGAAAGCUGACGGUACUAUAUGAAUAAGGACCGGCUAACUCCGUGCCAGCAGCCGCGGUAAUACGGAGGGUCCAAGCGUUGUCCGGAUUUAUUGGGUUUAAAGGGUACGUAGGUGGAACUUUAAGUCAGUGGUGAAAGCCUCCAGCUCAACUGGAGAAUUGCCAUUGAAACUGAAGUUCUUGAAUAUGGAUGAGGUGGUUGGAAUACAACAUGUAGCGGUGAAAUGCUUAGAUAUGUUAUAGAACACCAAUUGCGAAGGCAGAUCACUAAACCAUUAUUGACACUGAGGUACGAAAGCGUGGGGAGCGAACAGGAUUAGAUAA